rnacentral:lncRNA from 1 species
GCGGUACAAACUGCCCCGAUAUGUGUACUUCCAUAAUUUCCCGCACGAACGACACCAUAGUGGUUGACUCCUCCACCUUAACCAGUGAUUGGCUAUCUUUGUUUCCCCUCUCCUCUCUUCCCUCUGCGUGAGCACUACUGUUUUCCCCCUCCAAUGGUAUCCGCUUCUCUCCUGCUCCCUCACCUUGCUCGCCUCCGUUUCCCCCGUUCUUACUCUUCGCGAUCUGGGCCAAACAUUCAGCCCUCACCGCGGCCAUCUCCUCUUCGUGCUUUCGCUGCA